rnacentral:rRNA from 1 species
AUUGAACGCUGGCGGCAUGCCUUACACAUGCAAGUCGAACGGUAACAGGUCUUCGGACGCUGACGAGUGGCGAACGGGUGAGUAAUACAUCGGAACGUGCCCAGUCGUGGGGGAUAACUACUCGAAAGAGUGGCUAAUACCGCAUACGAUCUGAGGAUGAAAGCGGGGGACCUUCGGGCCUCGCGCGAUUGGAGCGGCCGAUGGCAGAUUAGGUAGUUGGUGGGAUAAAAGAUUACCAAGCCGACGAUCUGUAGCUGGUCUGAGAGGACGACCAGCCACACUGGGACUGAGACACGGCCCAGACUCCUACGGGAGGCAGCAGUGGGGAAUUUUGGACAAUGGGCGAAAGCCUGAUCCAGCAAUGCCGCGUGCAGGAUGAAGGCCUUCGGGUUGUAAACUGCUUUUGUACGGAACGAAAAAGCUUCCCCUAAUACGGGAGGCCCAUGACGGUACCGUAAGAAUAAGCACCGGCUAACUACGUGCCAGCCGCCGCAGUAAUAC